ACUGCAAAUGGCUCAUUAAAACAGUUAUUGUUUACUUGAUAAUAAUUUUUACAUGGAUAACCGUGGUAAUUCUACAGCUAAUACAUGAGCAAAAUCUCAACUUUAUUAGAAGAGACGCAUUUAUUAGAUAAAAAGCCAGUUCAUGCUUUUACAGUAUGAAAAUUGGUGAUUUAUAAUAACUUAGCAAAUCGCAAAGUGAAAACAGGCGAUAAAUCAUUCAAGUUUCUGACCUAUCAGCUUUCGACGGUAUGGUAUUGGCUUACCGUGGCAGUGACGGUUAACGGGGGAUUAGGGUUCGAUUCCGGAGAGGGAGCCUGAGAAACGGCUACCACAUCUAAGGAAGGCAGCAGGCGCGCAAAUUACCCAAUUCUAACAGUUUGAGAGAGGUAGUAACAAGAAAUAACAAUACAAGGCAGUUAAAAUGCUUUGUAAUUGGAAUGAUAGAAAUUUAAACCCUUUUUAAAGUAUCAAUUGGAGGGCAAGUCUGGUGCCAGCAGCCGCGGUAAUUCCAGCUCCAAUAGCGUAUAUUAAAAUUGUUGCAGUUAAAAAGCUCGUAGUUGAAGUUCUGCUGAAAGUAACCGGUCUGCUUUUAAUAAAAGUGGUAUCUUGGUAUGUAUUUAGCAAUGAUGUCCUUUGAAGUGUUUUU
rnacentral:rRNA from 1 species